GUCGGAGCCAAGUGCGGAGGAGGGGUGGCUCUGGCUCUGCGCGCAGCUGGCUCAGGCUCGGAGCCCGGCAGUGUCCCUCUGCAGGACCAUCAAGCCCACGGAGCUGUUAAUCAUUACCUCUACUUGCCCCAGCAGAACAAUACUAGACCCAUGUCAGAGGUUGAAGACACACCGGUUCAGAAACACAUGAUGGCGGCUUCAUAAAUGUGUGAAUUGAUUUUUUGGCAUAAUCCAGACGACUAGUCAAGUACGCUUCUUGUCCUUCAUGCAGGAGCAAGUGGAGAGAGGAAGUGAGCGGGGAGAGAAAGUUUGACACAAUGAAGGGAAAGAUUAAGGUCCGGGAAACAGUGAAAGAAGAUAGAGCGCGGGGGUUGAAGCAAAGAAACUCACAGCAUUUGUGGGCAUCCUGCAUCCAGACCAAGUCCUGUGACCAGCUUUGCUUAUGGAAGGUGGAGCUCCACUAGGUCCAGGCCUCAGAGGAUCCUUCCUGUGAAGACAGGCCCCUCAGCAGCCACAAGCAGCCUCUUCAUGGCCUCAGUUGCGAAUCUGAGGAACAAGAUAGAGACUUCUGGUUUCUGGUCUGGUAUGUAAGGGGCUUGGAAGUCACCACUCUGCUAAACAACGAGUAAAAAUCUGAAGGAACCCAAAAUUCCUAAAUCAUUAAGGGAGGGGAGGUUGCUGGGCCAAGGGCUUCCUGGAAAACUGGAGAAACCUACACAUCACUACAGAGAAUCGCAACUUACCAUAAGCAAAACCGAAGAGCAAAAACCUCUGGGGGAACCAGUGCAGGGGUAGCAAAAACCUGGACGAAGUUGCUGAAUUGCUGGAGGCUCAUGUGGACAAGCCCGAGAGUUAGAAACUCCAGGGGACCCAGUCCCUGGCGGGAAGCCUUUGAUGGGCUUAUAGAUAAACUGUAUGUGACUCAGGAAAGAACCUCUGAGCUCGUGUAUGUCAGCAGAAACAUUCAAAACUGAAAAGCAAAGAGAGGGGCUUCUGGGUGGCUCAGUCAGUGAAGCGUCUGCCUUCACCUCCCUGCUCUGCGAGGGGCCUGCUUCUCCCUCUUCCUCUGCCUGCCACGGCCCCCGGCUUGUGCACGCUCUCUUUAUUUUUCAAAUAAAUAAAUAAAAUCUUUUAAAAAAUGAAAAGAGGAAAAAAAGACUGAAAAAUACAGAAUAAGAGAUCUAAGAACUGUGGGACAAGUACUUUUAAUGGGAAUACCAGAAGAAGGGGAAAGACAGAGAAUUGGGAGAAAUAUUUGAGGCAAGAAUGACUGAAAAUUUCCCCCAAAUUCAUGUCAGACACCAACUCACAGAGCCAGGAAGUCCAGAACACACCAAGCAGGAUAAAUGCCAACAUUCAUAUUUAAACUGCAGAAAAUCCAAGAUAUUUAAAACUAUUAAAUGAAGCCAAAGGAAAAAACCUUCCCAAUAGAGGGUGAGAAUUACAUCCUACUUGUCCUCAGAGCCCAAACACAUCAGAGAGUGGGGAGAAGUAUUUAAAAUGUCCCAAGGAGUGAAGUCCUUUUCUCUUUCCUGAACGUCCUCCAGUUUAUUGAUAAACUCUUGUGCCCCAGUACAAACCCACAUCGAGGUAUCUGAGACUCUGUCUCCAGGUUCAGUAGAUACAUGGAGAUUCCUUCUGACUGAGCCGCUGAGUCAGUCACAGUCAAAUUCAUGUAUUUGGUGGGUCCCCGUGCGCUGUGACAGGUGUCCCACACACAACACUCUGUAGGAAACAGGUGCUGUGCUUCCAUGGGACUUGAAUUUUAAUAAGUGGAAGUUUAAGGGUAUAAAAGUAACUAAUGCUUUGAACCUGUAGUAGACUGAUUUUUUUUUUCAGCAGUUUCAUGAUUUUCUAUUUCAAUUUCAAAAUUUUCAGUGUGGAGUAGAAAGAAUUUUCAAUGAAUAUCCAUAUAUUCACCACACAAAUUCUGCCAUUAACACUUUAUAAUACUUGUUUUAUA